AGAGUUUGAUCAUGGCUCAGGAUGAACGCUGGCGGCGUGCCUAAUACAUGCAAGUCGAACGCACAGCGAAAGGUGCUUGCACCUUUCAAGUGAGUGGCGAACGGGUGAGUAACACGUGGACAACCUGCCUCAAGGCUGGGGAUAACAUUUGGAAACAGAUGCUAAUACCGAAUAAAACUCAGUGUCGCAUGACACAAAGUUAAAAGGCGCUUUGGCGUCACCUAGAGAUGGAUCCGCGGUGCAUUAGUUAGUUGGUGGGGUAAAGGCCUACCAAGACAAUGAUGCAUAGCCGAGUUGAGAGACUGAUCGGCCACAUUGGGACUGAGACACGGCCCAAACUCCUACGGGAGGCUGCAGUAGGGAAUCUUCCACAAUGGGCGAAAGCCUGAUGGAGCAACGCCGCGUGUGUGAUGAAGGCUUUCGGGUCGUAAAGCACUGUUGUAUGGGAGGAACAGCUAGAAUAGGGAAUGAUUUUAGUUUGACGGUACCAUACCAGAAAGGGACGGCUAAAUACGUGCCAGCAGCCGCGGUAAUACGUAUGUCCCGAGCGUUAUCCGGAUUUAUUGGGCGUAAAGCGAGCGCAGACGGUUGAUUAAGUCUGAUGUGAAAGCCCGGAG
rnacentral:rRNA from 1 species